rnacentral:rRNA from 1 species
CCUACGGGCGGCAGCAGUGGGGAAUAUUGGACAAUGGGCGAAAGCCUGAUCCAGCCAUGCCGCGUGUGUGAAGAAGGCCUUCGGGUUGUAAAGCACUUUCAGUGGGGAAGAAAGCCUUGGGGCUAAUACCCUCGAGGAAGGACAUCACCCACAGAAGAAGCACCGGCUAACUCCGUGCCAGCAGCCGCGGUAAUACGGAGGGUGCGAGCGUUAAUCGGAAUUACUGGGCGUAAAGCGCGCGUAGGCGGUCUGAUAAGCCGGUUGUGAAAGCCCCGGGCUCAACCUGGGAACGGCAUCCGGAACUGUCAGGCUAGAGUGCAGGAGAGGAAGGUAGAAUUCCCGGUGUAGCGGUGAAAUGCGUAGAGAUCGGGAGGAAUACCAGUGGCGAAGGCAGCCUUCUGGGCUGACACUGACGCUGAGGUGCGAAAGCGUGGGUAGCAAACAGGAUUAGAUACCCCGGUAGUC